rnacentral:rRNA from 1 species
CAGGCCUAACACAUGCAAGUCGAACGCCCCGCAAGGGGACUGGCAGACGGGUGAGUAACACGUGGGAACAUACCCUUCGGUUCGGAACAACGCCGGGAAACUGGCGCUAAUACCGGAUACGCCCUUUUGGGGAAAGGCUUGCCGCCGAAGGAGUGGCCCGCGUUCGAUUAGCUUGAUGGCGGGGUAACGACCCACCAUGGCGACGAUCGAUAGCUGGUCUGAGAGGAUGGCCAGCCACAUUGGGACUGAGACACGGCCCAAACUCCUACGGGAGGCAGCAGUGGGAAUAUUGGACAAUGGGCGCAACCCUGAUCCAGCCAUGCCGUGUGAGUGAUGACGGCCUUAGGGUUGUAAAGCUCUUGCGCACGCGACGAUAAUGACGGUAGCGUGAGAAGAACCCCCGGCUAACUUCGUGCCAGCAGCCGCGGUAAU